GCCAGCAGCCACACACAGCCCAGGGCCACGCUCACACUACCUUGGCCACUGAGCACACAGUCUAUGGCGCUUUGCCCCACUCAGCUUGGAGCCCACCUGAUUCUCAGAAAAACGCAGCUGGGGGGUCUCAGGUUUUCGUCGCCGUGAGUGGAACUCUGACUGAAGGAACUCUGACUGACACACAGUGCAGCAAUGUGGCAUGUGACUUCCCAGGCAAGGCCAUCAAGCCACUCUGACCUCAGCCUCAGUCUCCUGAUGACUCACCUGGGGGAGGGCAGUCCCCGUGUUGAGGGGACGCAGGGGCAGCCCAGUGGGGCAGCCAUGUGAGGAGGAGCUGAGGCCCCGAGCCACCAGCCAGCCCCAGCCGGGCAGGCCUGGGAGGGUGCCGUGCUGGGAGGGGACGGUCUCGGCCUGCAGAUGAACACAGCCUGCUCUCACCUUGGCCCAGCUUUUGAGAGACCCUGAGCCAGAACCAGUCGAUAAACCACUGAGUUUGGGGAUCGAUUUCUACACAGCCACCGAGAACGAAUCUAGAGGCCAGAGCUCAGGAGCCAGGCACAGAGGCACACCCCUGUCAUCCCAGAGACUGGGGAGGCUGAGGCAGGAGGAUUGCUAGUUUGAGGCCUCCCUCAGCAACUUAGGGAUGUGGCUCAGAGGAUUCAGUCCCCAGGAAAACACCCAGCCACACACCGAGACCUGCCCUUCGUGGAAGAGGCAGAGCAGCUGCCCAGGGCUGUCUGGAGGCAGGGUCCCCCGCAGGCCCUGUGGUCUCACACUCCUGCACCUGCCUUUCCCCCGAGAACCCUCGGAUUGACAACACCUGCACAGGAGGGCCCCCAGCUCUCCUCCCGCUGUGCUGUGGCAGCCCAUGGAUAAGGUCAGCUGACCCCUUGCUGUGUCCCUCCUGAAUUCACAAGCUGGAUCCUAAGGCCCAAUGUCACAGUACUAAGAGGUGGGGCCUGCAGGAAGUGGCCAGGCCACGAGAGUUCUGCCCUCCUGAAAGGCCCUGGGCAGCCUGUUGCCCUUGCAUCCCUCCAAUCUCAAUGUCCACCCACUCUGGAAACAGACCAGGCCUCCCCAGACAGGAUCUACCCGUGCCUUGAUCCUGGACCUACAGCCUCCAGAACUGUGGGCCAUGAACUUCCGUUGUUUAUAAACGACCCAGUCUAAAGCAUUUUGUUACAGAAGCACAACAGACGGAGACGCUGCCCCUCACAGUUGCCACCUGCCUCUUCCUCG